GGAAAACUAAAGUUCACAGUAAUAACAAUAUUAAGAGCAAGAGCCGAAUUAACUUACCUAUGGCGAGGAGAUUUUCACCGGCACAGUGUUGAGAAUUGUUGUGAUGCUGAACCGUGAUGGACGGAUGAACUGUUAUGUUGUUGUUAUGCUGAAUUUUUGUUGAAAAUUGUUGCUGCAGAAAGUUUGAUUGAAGGUGGUAUGAAGAUGAACAAAACCGCUCUUUGAUGAAGGUGAUGCCACAACACCUCUUUUUGGAUAUUAGGGAGACUUGAAGAUGCAACUUCAAGUUGUUGCUCUCCACUAAGGUAUGAACUACUUCUUCACCCCUUUUCCAACUAUGGAACUAAGAAACUUUGAAAAUUAUGAGAGAAAAGGGAGGAGUGAAAAAAGCAAGUAGUUAAGGUUGCUUUGGUGUGAUUUGCAAUGAAGUGAGGCCUUCUAUUUAUAGGAAAAGUUAAGGGAGUGUUUGGCAUUUGGUAAACUUGAAUGGCAAGUUUCAAUCAUUGCAAGAUAAGAAAAAGAAUAUAUUCUUCAUCAUUGCAAGAAUAAAAAAUAAGAAUAAGAAUAUUCUUAUGCAAAGAUAUUUUUCAUGAUAUAAGCCAUGUGUGUAAAUUUUUAUGUCAUUUUAUGAUAUCUCUAAGUUGCAUAAUUUUAUGACAUAAAAAUCUCUCUUUGGCUUUUUUUUGACUUUUGCUAAUUUCACCCCUCUUUUGUUUUCUUUUUCAUGUCAC